UUGUUAACGUUGACCGUCAUAUGUCGCAUUUUUAUUGGACAUUAAUUUUGUAUACCUAAUUAAUGUCAACCUCCAAUAAAAUUACGACACGUGACGGUAAACAUCCAAUUAAAACACAACAUGUGACAGUCAAGAUAA
rnacentral:pre_miRNA from 1 species